rnacentral:piRNA from 1 species
AGCACAGGCCUCAAGUACUCAAGUCCAGACU